CCUGGAGCCUGGUCACCGGGAAAAAAGGGAGAGCGUAGCGGGAGGCCGGCCAACCGGGUUGCGGCGGCGACCGUGCUCCGACGACGGACUAACCAGUGAUGGAGGGGGAGGGUAUGGAGUUUCUAAUUGACGCUGUUGACAGGUUCCCCGUGCGUGAGGAAUUUGCGGACAGCCUUACAACCCAGAUCCAGUUCCACUACUUUUUCUGCUGGAGAAGGGGAGUGCGACUGAGGAUGUGGGUGAGGUCGAUGGCGUCACUGAGCUGACUCAAAUGGAGGAUGUAGGAGCAGCAGCGGCAACGCAACAAGGUGGCCAUGCUUUACGAGCUGAAUCUCCAACGAGGUCUGCUCAAUCAACAGGCAGAGUGAAUCCACAAGCCCCCGGUUGGACAAAAAGGCUCCAGCUUGGAAGUGCACCACCUGACCGGGUGGCUUGCCCGUCGAGGAUGAGCGCACUAGAAAUUUCAAUCCGCAAGUAUGCAGAGCAACCUGAUAAGAGCGUCGUUAAACCUGAGCUGGGACUUAGUUUUGAUUCGUUGGGCAAGGCAUAUAGUUUGGCAGCGGGAACAAUCUGGGCAUCCCCGUUGCCGUGCUGGACUGCAAAUCCAUGCCCCGCUGGGUGCCAUCCCGCUUGAUGCUGCGCAGCAAGGAUCUGCUCGUGGGUCAUCCUCCUGCAGUACGCGCGCUGGAACUCAAAGAAACGUCACUGAAGGGCCUGCCAAAGGAGAAGAGAAAAUCUCAAUCAUUAGCCAGAAACCAUGACCAGCCUGGUUACUAGUCCUCGCGAAGGCGGUCACGACCUCGUCGCUGCAGAGAGGGCAUGCCAUCAAAGGGAGCAGCCAAUCGGCUGGGACAGGAAGGGAAGAUGAAGACGAUGCGGACAUGGCAGCGCGGACGAGAUUGAACAAUGGCGAUGGCCAAGCAGGGGCGAGCUCGGGAGAGUAAAUGGAGAUGGGUGGUGUGCUGGCUAGAGUGAAUGAGCUGGUUGGGCUGGUGAGCAUUUAUGGAGCUGGCGCUCCGACGCCGUUUGUGCUGUGAAUCUUGCGUCAUACGGCUCAUGCAGGCUCAGAUGUGGUGCCGAGCCGUCGCACCUCCAACGGGGCCGCGACGUGCCGUCUCCAUAAAUGCACCUCUGACACGCGAGCCAGAAAAGAGAUAUACGGCCUGAAAAUACAUGAAGACACACAGAUCUUGGCGCAGACCAUCGGUGUGGAUUUCGGGAGCAGCUGAGCCCGAGCUCAGAAUCGAAUUUUCGGUUCUUGCCUCCAUGCGCACCCCCAGCCUUCUCUACUAGUUUUUACAUUGCCAUUUGCUCACUCUUUGCUGUCAUUCGCCAAUCUUUCUUCUAGGCCGGGCGAUGCCAGUUCUACGACUGGCAGGAGGGAUACGAGAUGUACCUGCUUCCUGACAAGGAUGCAGAGGUCACCGACGAGAGCCAUGCCCCCACUACAACAGCUCCACAUGCUGCCGCCCCUGCGGAGAUCUCUUUAGGAGCUCGAGUUAUCCAAGAUCUCAUCAGGGUCAACAUCAUGCUCAGCGUUACCAACCUGAUGGCUACGUUGCUGCUGCUAGCCAUUGGCAUGACUUCAUUCGCUUGGAUGUUCUUCUAUUGCUGAAUCCACCCAUCUCAUGUGUACUAGCUAGACUAAGAACAGGAAAUUUGCAUGUAAUCACACUCUAAUCUCCUUCUAAUCCUUAAGCAAUGUGUGUUGAUGUCAAUCCAUAAUUAAUCAAGUGCGGGGCCACUAAUUUACCAAUUA